GCCAGGCAUUGUGGCCCAUGCCUGUAAUCCUAGCUACUUGGGAGGCUGAGACAGGAGGUUCACAGAGUUGAAGUCCUGGACAAUUUUGUGAGAUCCUGUCUAAA
rnacentral:sRNA from 1 species